UUAAUGCUGUAUGGAAAAUGUAUUGUGUAACUUCACUAACAUUAAGAAAACUGCUUACUUGCAUGAAAUGUAUGUAGUGACUGAUUUAGAGUAGAAACACUUAAGUAUUAGAAAUAGUUUUUAUGAUAAAUGGACAAUAUAGUAGUUAAGGUGUAUUUCACAGACGGUUAAGAGGAAAAAGAAGAGGAAAAGGGCUAAAGCAAUGCGACGUAAACAACUGAAAGCCUCGGCAGAGGAGUCGGCAGCACUCCAGGUGAUGACAUCAGAAGAACCAGCGUUCGACGUCUGGGUAUAAAAGACUGAGAGAGAGACUCGACCGACGGAUACUGAACAAGCACAGUAUCCCUCGACGCCUGAUACCAGCUGAUUAUAUCUUGAUUUUGUAACUUUACUAUUGUACUUUGAUAUAACUUUUGUUAACUUUAAUAAAACUUGUAUUUUAUUAAUGACAA